GUGACAGUCGCUCUCACAUCUCAGCGCGGAUUAACAUCUCCUGGAGAGAGUUACUGCCCAUCCGCGCCAAGACUGCCUUUAAAACAUCUCCGCUUUCAGUUCAUCCGCCGUUGCUAGAGCUGCUGACAGAAAGGGGAAUGGAAAACCUUCACAAACUAAACGAGAAGGAACUUCGGGAGCUAUUUUGACUGAUGAAGCUGUUUCACAGGAGGAGGAGGAAUCUAUUUAUGCCAGUAAAGUCAUGCUGACACCCACUGGAGCCACCACACUGAAUCGUCUGCAAUCCCUCAAUUAUUCC